rnacentral:lncRNA from 1 species
CGUCUGGUUUAUCAUUAGUGCGAAUGGGAGAGGCAAAUGCUGUGAGCAGCCCGUCUGAGCCACUUCGAUAAGAACUCCUCACAUUUGCGUGUAACAAACAUUAAUAAUCUACUCUUCCAUAGAAUAUGCACCCAGUGAGUGUGGGUCCCCUACUGGAUGGAUGCUUGCAUACGUGACCAGUUCAUGGUAAGAGCUCUAUUGAAUGCAGCCGCCAACAAACUCCUUGUUUGCAGAAUCGCUUCAAUCAUGUGGUCAUCCAUCGUUGCAAUAAGGUGGAGCUUCUUUCUCCUGAGGUCGAUCCUUCCACCCACAACAUCCUUCGUUCAGAAAGAAGAAAAAAAGCCACUAUUCUGAAGAAUCUACCAGCUCUGGAAUGAAGGAUACGCUCGGGAGUACUCUAUCCACAUCAGCUGUGAACCUGAUCCUUAAGCUAAAGCAGUAAACUGAAGAAGUGUUCACUCACAGCACGUGACACGAUGUGUAUCUUGGUGAUGACUAUCCGAGGUGAUGCAAUGAGCCCACUCCCGAAUUGUAGACAAAGUUGCGCUCUCUAUCUGAAUGCCGUCCUCCUGAAUUGCAGGGCUUCUGCAUCUCAGCACAGGCUUCGGCUCCCACCAGAGCUACAUUCCAGGUUCGGAUGCAUUUCGGCAGAAAUGGGUUAGAACGACAAGGAUCUCCUGUAUCGGUGAAAAAAUCCAUAGACAAACAGGACCUCCUGCUCUGCUCUGAUAUCCCAGCAAAGCAGGACCAGAUCCGGCAGAAGAAA